UAAUACCGGAUAGAUCAAAGAUACUGGAAUGUUCUCUGAUCCAAAGCUCCGGCGUCCAAGGAUGGAUCUGCGGCUUAUCAGGUAGUAGUGGGUGUAACGUACCUACUAGCCUACGACGAGUACGGGUUGUGAGAGCAAGAGCCCGGAGAUGGAUUCUGAGACAUGAAUCCAGGCCCUACGGGGCGCAGCAGGCGCGAAAUCUUUACAAUGCAGGAAACUGCGAUAAGGGGACCCCGAGUGCCAGCAUCUAAUGCUGGCUGUCCAGCUGUGUAAAUAGCAGUUGUUAGCAAGGGCCGGGCAAGACCGGUGCCAGCCGCCGCGGUAACACCGGCGGCCCGAGUGGUAACCGAUUUUAUUGGGUUUAAAGGGUCCGUAGCCGGCCUGUUAAGUCUCUUGGGAAAUCUGGCGGCUCAAUCGUCAGGCGUUC
rnacentral:rRNA from 1 species